GCGUCGCUCCGACGGAGACGGCUCUGCCCGCGGUGGACAGCUCCAGAGAAAAAGAGGAGGCGGAGGUGAAUGUGCUCUGUGCCUCAUGGUCAUAUAGAUCCUCGUUGAGGAGAGAAACGUCCACCGCAUCGAACACCGGCCCGUCAAGAUACGUGAAGAAUUGCCAUCAUAUUCAACAUCUCUCCUACAGAAGUGUUGUUGCACCGUCAAGAAGGUGGUUGUGCAAAUGACUAACUGGAACUAUGGAAAUGUAGGAUGUUUCAAGGCAAUUAUUUUCAAGGUCUACUUCCAGAUACUCUUUCCUAUCGUGGCCAACCUAUAAGCUUGUUAGUGUUUAUUGCCGGUGAUAAGAGCCAACUGCCAUUGUUAAAUGUCAAGGUUAUAGCAGGGAAUAUUAAUAAUAUACCAUUAUCAUGCAGAUGAAUAGGUGAUAUAGUAAAUAUAAUUAAGUUGUGCUUUACUAGGAUUCCUCGGGAAUAUGGCAUGUUUGAACACCCUGCAUGCAUAAAUUUUUCAGUUAAUUGCUCAAAUUACAGUCCCAAUUUGUUGUAAUUCAACAAGUUGUUAUCCUAAAACUUCUAAUAUGUUGUUUUACAUGGUUUCGAGGAACUACAGAAUAUCUGAUAAGCUUGUAUCAAUAGAAUUUUCGAAAUUCAUGAGAUUAAAUUUAUUGUAUGCAUUUAUUUUAACAAUAGCCAAGUGCCUUUUGUGCAAGAGUUGAUGAUAUCUUUCCUGUCUCACUUUUCUUAUAGGGACUUUUAGUUUCAAAAAUAUCACAACCCAAGUACCACAAGCCUUGUUGAACCCGAACUCUGUCAACUUCUUGUACAUAAUCUCUUGACUUGCAAAAUGUGUAUCUAUUAAAUGAAAACUUCCACCAUUCUUCUCGCUAAUCUGUGAAUUUUGUAGUGACUAGAUUUGUUGGGAAAAUAGCCUUUCAGGAAGCCUUCCAAGCUCAAUACGAUCUUUACUUAGAAAUUUCUAUGCAAUGCGGUUCAGCUUUAUUGACAUUUUUACCAAAUAAAAGCAAGGAGAUGUUUAUUGCUUGAUAAUUGAUUGGAGCAAAAGUUGGAUGUUGAAGUAACCAAAAGGUUAGGUUCAACUUUCUCUGUUGAUUUUAGAAAUAUGGUGACCUAUAAAUAUAUGAUCUUUUUAGUUUUGCUCAUCUUACUAUUGAGAAAUAACCCAUGAUGAAGAUCUCUACACAAAUGUGAUCGCUACAUAUAAGUGGGAACUUUUCUAAAGGUUAAAAGCUUUGAUGUGUUUGCUUAUCCUUGCUAAAACAGACCUACAUUAAGUUUGGAUCAGGGGGUGGAUUGAAGAUGUGGACCCUGAGCUCCAGGAAUCCAGAGUGACCUGACCACAUAUUCUUCCGCAUGUUUUGAUCAGGGGUGGACCGAAGAUCGACUUUGGCUUGCGAUGCUGGUUCAAGUUAGUGCUUGCACAUCCCAUCCUGCUCAAGGCUGCUUGAUAUCUCGCUCACACCUGAGGUGCACAUGUUCUCGCCCUUUCCUCCAGCGUGAUUUGGCCGAUCCGUGUAUAGGAGCGAGGUUGGAGGCGCACUGGUCUGGGGCUGUCCAUGUUGGGAUGUUACUUUGAUUCAUUCACCUUUUGUUAUCCAGCUCCUUUUUUCCGUUUCCUAGCGACCCGGUUUAUCCUGUUAUGCUAGAGGUUUUGCUGCUAUCUAGCAAUAUUGUAUAUUGCAUAUUUUAGAUAUCAUAUUUGUGUUUUAUGAAACAACAAAUCAGGUUUUCAAAUUUAUUUACCCAUUUGGUCAAAUCUGUAAAGUUAUUACGAUGGUUAUGUGAAUAACGCAGAGAAAAAAUAUUUUAAAUGACAUGGGUAAUGUUGCAUCUACUUUUUUUAUAUUUUACCUUCUACAAAGAAAUUUCAUGGCAGCUAUAUCGUUCCCGUUUUCACUGUUUUUAUGCAUUGCAAAUUUACUUUCUGGUACAAUAAAUCCUUUGCUAAUUCUUAUGCUUAUGCAUAACUUCAUCUAGCUGCCUUUUACACUACACAUUUUGUGACCGGUGUCAAAAAUAGAUGCCUACAGAGUGUCCUUUCUUGCAUUGCUACAGUGUGGACUCUAAUUUUGUUGGCCAAUCAAGGAACAAGGAAAUGCUGGCGUAAUUUAAAAUGUUCUUUCUUGCAUUGCUACAGUCUAGACCCAUUAUUGAUACAGUUGUGCUUUCUUUUUUUCAAAGAGAUGCCAUUAUAUCAAAUAAAUAGCUCAUAUUUUCAUGAUUAAAUUGUGUCCUGAGGUGAUACUACUAGGCUGCUUUAUUAAAUGAUAAAAGAUGGUUAGAUACUCAGGAAUUUUACUACAGGUUUGAUGCUGUUGGGUGAUAAUAAUUACUGAUACUUCCCUUUAAAUAUGUUGCUUCUAUUUAAUUUGCAAUUUGCAGAAUGUUCAUUACAACAAUUCCUUGAAAAAACCAAAAUUCUUCUCAAGUUCCCUUCAGGCAGAUAAGAAGAGAAGAGAUGAUGAUAGGAAGUUGGGAUAACUGGUCCAAAUCAAAUCAAGUGGCAAUGUGCUUCCAGAAGUUUAAGAAGAAACAUGAACAUUGCAUGUGCAGUUCGCUCGGUAUUCUAGCUGAAGUCAUCAACAAUCAAAUUUAUAGUUGAUAGAGCAAAUAUUGUAUUCACCUUCUGGUUUCACAGUGCAUGCAUGUAAGAACUGGUGUUUAUAUCACAAUCUAUAUUAUCAUUCAAUGGAGAUUA